UACGUAGGCAGCGAGCGUUGUUCGGAAUUACUGGGCGUAAAGAGUGUGUAGGCGGUGCUCUAAGUUCGGUGUGAAAUCUCCCGGCUUAACUGGGAGGGUGCGCCGGAAACUGGAGUGCUCGAGCGUGGGAGAGGGGAAGCGGAAUUCCUGGUGUAGCGGUGAAAUGCGUAGAUAUCAGGAGGAACACCUGCGGUGUAGACGGCUUUCUGGACCAUUGCUGACGCUGAGACACGAAAGCGUGGGUAGCAAACAGG
rnacentral:rRNA from 1 species